UUGCAAUAGACCUCAAACCUGAGGGGCUACGAUGUAAUUUACCUAUUAUUUUAUUAGGCAGUUCUGUUAGAUUAUACAUCACACUUUCAUUUCAUAUACUAAUUCAGAUAAGCAGCUGAUAAUUACUUACAUAAAGCUCGUAGCUCAAAUAGCUAAGAUCGUUCAUCUUUUGCACCAAACAUCCUAACUCUAGGUCUGACUGAUUACUGAAACAAAUAGAAGAGUGCAUCUCUGAGAUGCUCAAGUUACAAAGUAGUUCCUGUGAGAGGCCCUAUUUACCUAUUUAUCAUGCAGCAUACGAGAUAUCAUAAAUUAGAAAAGUUGCAGCAAUUGGUAACGUGCAGCUUCUAACGAUCAUUGUCAUCCUAAUCGGUGCUCAACCCUAAUAGACACGUAGAUUUACCCAAACCCUUCCCCAUUCAUGGUGGGCUUUUACAAAACCUCCCUUUUAAGAAUUUGCCCUGCAAAACUUAUGUGUCAAAUUAUACAACUUUUAGAUAAAGAGUUGCAAUUUUGAGACGUAAAAUUGUAUUUACAUCCCAUACAUUUCUAGGAGAUGUAAAUCUAAUAGCUACUCUGAUGGGAGAUAUUUUAAUUUGGAAUCUAAUUUACUUUUCUCUUUGAUUGACAGGGCCCUUCAUCAAAAUAUGUACAUUUAUAUUUUCGACAAAGAUGAAAAUUUUAUAUUCCAUAUAAUGUAGAAUUUUUUUGGCCAACAAAAAAAUGUAAAUGUUCGUUCCAAUGCAUUUUGCUUGGACAUUUCGCAUCUCUUGUUGGAUAGAAGUGAUUCCCGUUACUUUAUAAAAAAUUAAUGCAUUCCAAUGCAUUUUGCAUUUCCGAUCUCCUAUUGGAUAGGAAUAAAUCCCUAUUAUUUCAUUAAUUCACCUAUAUUAAGGAGUGUGU
rnacentral:lncRNA from 1 species